rnacentral:misc_RNA from 1 species
GUUCAUUACGGACGAUCAAUGUCAAUACGGAACCAUAAGUAUAAAUGAAUGGUAUCGCGAUGUGGCAUUUCACAUAUUACUAUUCUAGUACUUGACUGGCAUUCGCAAAUCUGAUCGGAAGGAAACUGGAGAUGAAGAUGCAAGUGAUACAGAUGAUGGUUCUAAUAGGAUGCGGCGUUGCAUUAGUGGACGCAACCGACUGUAGAUACCCAUGCGUCCGCAAACUUGGAACACGAGUGGCAGACUGUAUAGAUCCAUGUGGCCAAGAACCACAGCCAGAAUGCCCGGCUUGUCCCGAUGCAGUAUGCCAGAAAAAUGAUUGUGAUGUUUGUAGUUAUUAUUUCAAAUUUGGAAGAAGUAAGAUUUGCGACUGUGGCAUUGUCGACUGCGCAGAUUUAGACAAGGUGACUUGUGAUGAGGAUCCAUGCUCCGGUGUGGACACUUCAGAUGGUGUCAUUUGCCUUUCCAACAACUGUGGUGGAUGUAAUAAAGUUUGUUACCAGAACUGCAGAAGAUUAUACAGUUGCCCGAUGCUAAAUAAUAUUGAAUGAAUAUUUAAUGAAUAGAAUAAACACAUCAUGAAUGAAAGAUGUAAAAACAA